GGGAUUAUAGCUCAGCUGGUUAGAGCACCACGUUGACAUCGUGGGGGUCAUAGGUUCGAGUCCUACUAAUCCCACCA
rnacentral:tRNA from 1 species